rnacentral:rRNA from 1 species
GACGAACGCUGGCGGCGUGCUUAACACAUGCAAGUCGAACGGAAAGGCCCUGCUUUUGUGGGGUGCUCGAGUGGCGAACGGGUGAGUAACACGUGAGUAACCUGCCCUUGAUUUUGGGAUAACUUCAGGAAACUGGGUCUAAUACCGGAUAGGAGCUCCUGCUGCAUGGUGGGGGUUGGAAAGUUUCGGCGGUUGGGGAUGGACUCGCGGCCUAUCAGUUUGUGGGGGGGGGAGCGGCUUACCAGGGCUUUGACGGGUAGCCGGCCUGAGAGGGUGACCGGCCACAUGGGGACUGAGAUACGGCACAGACUCAUACGGGGGGGAGGAGUGGAGAAUAUUGCAAAAGGGGCGGAAGCGUGGUAGAGCAACGGCGCGUGCGGGAUGACGGCCUUCGGGUUGUAAACCGCUUUCGCCUGUGGAGAAGCGUGAGUAACGGUAAUGGGUAAAGAAGCACGGGCAAACUACGU